GGUUUGUUGAGCAGAAUUUUCUUAGGGGGACGCAGCAACUGUAGGAGAAAAGCUCUAUGUGGUAGUAAGCCACUCAACCACAGCAGUUAAUUCCAACAGAAAAUACACUUCCAGGCCUACUGGUCAUACAUAAGCCUGUAACACUGAAAGGAAAAUCUGCCAUCUUUUCCUUCUGUGAAGUUUGAAAACAAAGCCUGACAGCAUGUGACUUACCCAACAUACUGGCCAGGUAUGGCAGGCCCAUCAGGGACUAGUGAAUGCCAAAACUAAUCCUGUCCUGUUUGUCUGGAAGUAAACCCUACUGAAUUUAAUAGGACUUGCUUCUGAAUAGACUUGGUUAGGAUUGUGCUGAACCACUCUCACAACUGGGUUAGUUUAAAAAUUGAAACUGCUACUGCAAAACUAGCAUAAUGAGCAAAUCAAAGAGCUAAUGCUAACACAAUAUUUCCCAGAAAUGAGGUGAUUCAGCAUCCAAACUAAGACAACAAAACAGAUCCUAUUUUAAAUUGUCUUUUCCUGCAUCUCCAAUGAUUUUCUUUUGAACAGCCAUUCCUAAAAUCCUCUAUCCCUUUGGUGUGGAAUGUUUGUGUGUCUCAUCCCUGAAAGCCACAUUUAUUUGUGCCCAUUAGUUUUCCUUCCAAGCCUACUCCCUCAAAACAGGCCUCCGCUAUUAUCAAUCUUUUUUUGUCCCUCUUAGCUUUUAGAAAGCUGCUCCUCCCUCCUGAAAAAAAUCCUGAAUCUAAUCACUGAGGAAUACUUCCAACAUUGUUUUAGAAAGCUAUGACAGUACUCUUGGGAGCUGCAUUCUUGUCGAAGAAUUGAAAUAAAAAGUUUGGUGCAGAAAACAGGAAAGGGACCUUUCCUGGCAUCAGUGUCAAGAUGACAAGUCAGUAGUUACCUUGGUCUUCUCCCCACCACCACCACCUUUUUGAAGUUGGGGACAACAUUUGCUUGCUUCCAGCCCACAGAGACCUCACCUGUUCUCCAAGAAUUCUCAAAGAUUGUAGGCAGAGGCUCUGAGCGUCAUCAGACUGGAAGAUCAAUCCACAAGAAGCAGUACUGCAAAUAAAGUAUUAGAAACAACAAUCAAGCCAUUUGAUGCAAAAGUCAUCAGCAUAAACAAUGCUGCAAAACUCUAUAUACUGGAACAAAUGCCAAUUCCAUACCAACAAAGCUUCAGUGAAUCACACCAGAUGUGGUGAGCCACAAGACCAAGUGAAAAAGGUUGCUAGAAGGGAAGCAUUAUUCAAUGAUACAUCUAUGUCUCUGGAAAGACGAGCUGUAACAGACAGUUAUGGUUCAGGGUUUAAUGAAUACGGAAACAAGUUACAAGGGAUUCAAAAUGAAGAUUUCAAGCGGGAAUCAAGCUGUAGUUUUGCAAUGCAGCUAAGUAACGAAGACUAUAAGAGCAAUAUGCCAUCAUUUGCCAUAAACCCAAACAGCCAAGCUAAAGAGGAGUUAUUUAAUUUACGGGGGGGGGGGGAGUUUCUUACCAGUCCUAUGAGUUGUCUCCCACUAAGCCACACAGAAUAGAACCACAGAUACCAAUGGACAUAACUAAUUCCAGGGUGUAUCUAUUCCAGUAGGAAAUUCUGAAGUGCAGAACUCUUAAAGACAACCCUCCAUGGCCAUGCCUCGAUAUUCAUAUACCUUCUAAGGCUAUACAACAAAAACAAACCUUUUACCAUGGCAGACAAUAUGGUUUCAAUACCAAGCCAGCUUUUCCCCCUUCUCUCUCCCCACCUUCCCUUUACUUACCAUUGAGUCUGAUGGAGAGCUCUGGUACACUCAAAAGUUUGCUCACAAUAUUGUGACGUUUUGGUUGUUCGUCUUCAAAAUAGUUUAUUUUUAUCUUAUUUUACCUUAUCCUCAGGCCAGCCACUUGUCUCUCAGCCUAAUCUACCACACAGGGCUAUUGUGGGGGUAAAAUUGAGAGAAGAAUCAUGUCACCUUGAUUACUUUGGGGAAAAGGUGGGAAGUAAUAAUAAUAAUAAUAAUAAUAAUAAAAAUUUGGGAAAAGACUACAUGGGAGGAAUUCAUGAAAUUUCAUUCUACCCUUAAUCUCUUUACUAUUUGUUUAAGAAAUCUUCACUAUUAAGACUAAACCACCCCAGAUUUCUUGAGAGUCCCAUGGGCUGCAAGAAGAUCAAACCUAUCCAUUCUUAAAGAAAUCAUCCCUGAGUGCUCACUGGAAGGACA